rnacentral:rRNA from 1 species
GUGCAGCAGGCGAGAAUCCUUCGCAAUGCGGGAAACCGCGACGAGGGGACUCCCAGUGCCUACGCUCAGCGUAGGCUGUUCCCGAGCCUAGAAAGCUCGGGGAGUAAGGGCUGGGUAAGACGGGUGCCAGCCGCCGCGGUAAUACCCGCAGCCCGAGUGGUGGCCACUAUUAUUGGGCCUAAAGCGUCCGUAGCCGGCCCGGUAAAUGCCUGGGUAAAUCGUGAGGCCUAACCUCACGAAUUCCGGGUAGACUGCCGGGCUAGGGACCGGAGGAGGGAGAGGGGUACUCCAGGGGUAGGGGUGAAAUCCUGUAAUCCCUGGAGGACCACCGGUGGCGAAGGCGCUCUCCUAGGACGGGUCCGACGGUGAGGGACGAAAGCCAGGGGAGCGAACCGGAUUAGAUACCCGGGUAGU